GUUUGCAUAAUGCUUUCCCCUUUUUGCUGCCCACAAAAAUGACAAAUUCUCUUAAGGUUCUCCAUUUAGCAAGCUUCUGUGCAUUUUAGGUUGAGACUUAUGAAAAGGAGAUCUUUGGACAUAACUCAAAACAGGAUUUAUUUUGUCCAUAAGGGAUAAUGAAGGAAAGUCAAAAGAAUUUGAAGUUCAGGAAACCAUAUCCUCCCAGCCCAGGGUAAAGUGAUCAUCAUGACCCCCAUACAAAGUAGUCUUACUUUGGCAAUUAGAAGUAGAGGAGGAAAGAUGUAUGUUUGCAGUGCCAUUUCUACAGAGUCUUCAAAAAGGCAAAGGUAGUAAAAUACAUGUGCCCAUCUGUUAUGUCACAAGAGGUUUUGGAUUUGGAACUCAACUGCAGCUUGUAAAACUCCUUAAUUACAAUAGCAAAAAGAGGAGAAAUCCUUUAAAUUAAUAAGGUUACUAUAGCCUUAAAGCGAGGUGGAGGUUGCAG